UACGUAGGUCCCGAGCGUUGUCCGGAUUUAUUGGGCGUAAAGCGAGCGCAGGUGGUUUAUUAAGUCUGGUGUAAAAGGCAGUGGCUCAACCAUUGUAUGCAUUGGAAACUGGUAGACUUGAGUGCAGGAGAGGAAAGUGGAAUUCCAUGUGUAGCGGUGAAAUGCGUAGAUAUAUGGAGGAACACCGGUGGCGAAAGCGGCUCUCUGGCCUGUAACUGACGCUGAGGCGCGAAAGCGUGGGGAGCAAACAGG
rnacentral:rRNA from 1 species